rnacentral:rRNA from 1 species
UUAACACAUGCAAGUCGAGGGGCAUCAGGAAGAAAGCUUGCUUUCUUUGCUGGCGACCGGCGCACGGGUGAGUAACACGUAUCCAACCUGCCCUUUACUCGGGGAUAGCCUUUCGAAAGAAAGAUUAAUACCCGAUAGCAUAAUGAUUCCGCAUGGUUUCAUUAUUAAAGGAUUCCGGUAAAGGAUGGGGAUGCGUUCCAUUAGGUUGUUGGUGAGGUAACGGCCCACCAAGCCUUCGAUGGAUAGGGGUUCUGAGAGGAAGGUCCCCCACAUUGGAACUGAGACACGGUCCAAACUCCUACGGGAGGCAGCAGUGAGGAAUAUUGGUCAAUGGGCGCUAGCCUGAACCAGCCAAGUAGCGUGAAGGAUGAAGGCUCUAUGGGUCGUAAACUUCUUUUAUAUAAGAAUAAAGUGCAGUAUGUAUACUGUUUUGUAUGUAUUAUAUGAAUAAGGAUCGGCUAACUCCGUGCCAGCAGCCGCGGUAAUACGGAGGAUCCGAGCGUUAUCCGGAUUUAUUGGGUUUAAAGGGAGCGUAGGUGGACUGGUAAGUCAGUUGUGAAAGUUUGCGGCUCAACCGUAAAAUUGCAGUUGAUACUGUCAGUCUUGAGUACAGUAGAGGUGGGCGGAAUUCGUGGUGUAGCGGUGAAAUGCUUAGAUAUCACGAAGAACUCCGAUUGCGAAGGCAGCUCACUGGACUGCAACUGACACUGAUGCUCGAAAGUGUGGGUAUCAAACAGGAUUAGAUACCCUGGUAGUCCACACAGUAAACGAUGAAUACUCGCUGUUUGCGAUAUACAGUAAGCGGCCAAGCGAAAGCAUUAAGUAUUCCACCUGGGGAGUACGCCGGCAACGGUGAAACUCAAAGGAAUUGACGGGGGCCCGCACAAGCGGAGGAACAUGUGGUUUAAUUCGAUGAUACGCGAGGAACCUUACCCGGGCUUAAAUUGCAGUGGAAUGAUGUGGAAACAUGUCAGUGAGCAAUCACCGCUGUGAAGGUGCUGCAUGGUUGUCGUCAGCUCGUGCCGUGAGGUGUCGGCUUAAGUGCCAUAACGAGCGCAACCCUUAUCUUUAGUUACUAACAGGUUAUGCUGAGGACUCUAGAGAGACUGCCGUCGUAAGAUGUGAGGAAGGUGGGGAUGACGUCAAAUCAGCACGGCCCUUACGUCCGGGGCUACACACGUGUUACAAUGGGGGGUACAGAAGGCAGCUAGCGGGUGACCGUAUGCUAAUCCCAAAAUCCUCUCUCAGUUCGGAUCGAAGUCUGCAACCCGACUUCGUGAAGCUGGAUUCGCUAGUAAUCGCGCAUCAGCCACGGCGCGGUGAAUACGUUCCCGGGCCUUGUACACACCGCCCGUCAAGCCAUGGGAGCCGGGGGUACCUGAAGUACGUAACCGCAAGGAUCGUCCUAGGGUAAAACUGGUGACUGGGGC